AUGUUAUCAACUUUAGAGGGGUUCAACCCGUGUUUAUCCCUGCUGUCUGGAAAUUGAGAGUUCCCCCUAAAAUUCAUGUAUUUCUCUGGCUUCUCUCCAAAAACAUUGAUGACUAGGGAUAACCUUAGGAAGAGACACAUCAUCAAACCCCUUGAUUGUGUUUACCUUGAACAAGAGUCUUGUUCUCACCUAUUUUUUGAAUGUAUAGUUGCUAAACAUCUCUGGGCCCACAUUGAGGAAUAUUUCUUUAGUCAGAUUGGCUCAUCCUUCGAAUCUGUCGUCAGAUUCUGGAUUGCUACCAAAAAGUGCUCAGUUUUAAACACUGUUAGCUCAGCUGUCCUUUGGUGCCUCUGGAAAUAUAGAAAUGCUAUGAUUUUCAGUAACACCUCCUGGAUUUCCAUUCCACAGGUCUUGAGGUUGAUCAGAAACAUGGUGAGGAACUCGGCGAUUCUCUCCUCCGGAUCGGACAAGGACAAGUUGAUGAGCUUCAUGGAAACCCUAACAAGAUCCCUCCAGAAACCGUUGGCGAUCACUUGUGGCUGA
rnacentral:rRNA from 1 species